rnacentral:rRNA from 1 species
AGAGUUUGAUCCUGGCUCAGGAUGAACGCUAGCGGCAGGCUUAACACAUGCAAGUCGAGGGGCAGCGGGGGGCGCGCUUGCGCGUCCCGCCGGCGACCGGCGCACGGGUGAGUAACACGUAUGCAACCUGCCCCCGCCAGGGGUACAACCCUCCGAAAGGGGGGCUGAUACCGCGUACAUCCCCCGGGGGCAUCCCCGGGGGAGGAAAGCCCUACGGGGCGGGCGGGGAUGGGCAUGCGGCGCAUUAGGAAGACGGCGGUGUGACGGACCACCGUUCCGACGAUGCGUAGGGGUUCUGAGAGGAAGGCCCCCCACACUGGUACUGAGACACGGACCAGACCCCUACGGGAGGCAGCAGUGAGGAAUAUUGGUCAAUGGCUGGAAGGCUGAACCAGCCAAGCCGCGUGAGGGAGGAAGGCGCAGAGCGUCGCAGACCUCUUUUGCCGGGGGACAAAAGGCCGGACUCGUCCGGUCCUGAGGGUACCCGGAGAAAAAGCAUCGGCUAACUCCGUGCCAGCAGCCGCGGUAAUACGGAGGAUGCGAGCGUUAUCCGGAUUCAUUGGGUUUAAAGGGUGCGCAGGCGGGCCUUUAAGCCGGCGGUGAAAUCGCGGGGCUCAACCCCGCCGAGCCGUCGGAACUGGGGGCCUUGAGUGCGGCGGAGGCAUGCGGAAUGCGCGGUGUAGCGGUGAAAUGCAUAGAUAUCGCGCAGAACCCCGAUUGCGAAGGCAGCGUGCCGUGCCGCCACUGACGCUGAGGCACGAAAGCGCGGGGAUCGAACAGGAUUAGAUACCCUGGUAGUCCGCGCCGUAAACGAUGGAUGCUGGGUGUCCCGGGGCGUUCAGGCCCUGGGUGCCGGAGUGAAAGCGGUAAGCAUCCCACCUGGGGAGUCAGCCGGCAACGGUGAAACUCAAAGGAAUUGACGGGGGCCCGCACAAGCGGAGGAACAUGUGGUUUAAUUCGAUGAUACGCGAGGAACCUUACCCGGGCUCAAACGGGGGGCGCGGGCGGCAGAGACGCCGCCGUCCUUAUGGACGUCCCCCGAGGUGCUGCAUGGUUGUCGUCAGCUCGUGCCGUGAAGUGUCGGAUUAAGUUCCAUAACGAGCGCAACCCCCGCGCGCAGUUGCUAACGGGUCAGGCCGAGGACUCUGCGCGGACUGCCGGUGCAAGCCGCGAGGAAGGCGGGGACGACGUCAAAUCAGCACGGCCCUUACGUCCGGGGCGACACACGUGUUACAAUGGGGGGUACAGCGGGAAGCCAGGCGGCGACGCCGAGCGGAACCCGAAAGCCCCUCCCAGUUCGGAUCGGAG